rnacentral:rRNA from 1 species
UUCCGGUUGAUCCCGCCGGACCUGACUGCUAUCGGAUUGAUANUAAGCCAUGCGAGUCAUUGUAGCAAUACAAGGCAUACGGCUCAGUAACGCGUAGUCAACCUAACCUAUGGACGGGAAUAACCUCGGGAAACUGAGAAUAAUGCCCGAUAGAACAUUAUACCUGGAAUGGUUUAUGUUCCAAAUGAUUUAUCGCCAUAGGAUGGGACUGCGGCCUAUCAGUUUGUUGGUGAGGUAAUGGCCCACCAAGACUAUUACAGGUACGGGCUCUGAGAGGAGUAGCCCGGAGAUGGGUACUGAGACACGGACCCAGGCCCUAUGGGGCGCAGCAGGCGAGAAAACUUUGCAAUGUGCGAAAGCACGACAAGGUUAAUCCGAGUGAUUUCUGCUAAAGAAAUCUUUUGUUAGUCCUAGAAACACUAACGAAUAAGGGGUGGGCAAGUUCUGGUGUCAGCCGCCGCGGUAAAACCAGCACCUCAAGUGGUCAGGAUGAUUAUUGGGCCUAAAGCAUCCGUAGCCGGCUCUGUAAGUUUUCGGUUAAAUCUGUACGCUCAACGUACAGGCUGCCGGGAAUACUGCAGAGCUAGGGAGUGGGAGAGGUAGACGGUACUCGGUAGGAAGGGGUAAAAUCCUUUGAUCUAUCGAUGACCACCUGUGGCGAAGGCGGUCUACCAGAACACGUCCGACGGUGAGGGAUGAAAGCUGGGGGAGCAAACCGGAUUAGAUACCCGGGUAGUCCCAGCUGUAAACUAUGCAAACUCAGUGAUGCAUUGGCUUGUGGCCAAUGCAGUGCUGCAGGGAAGCCGUUAAGUUUGCCGCCUGGGAAGUACGUACGCAAGUAUGAAACUUAAAGGAAUUGGCGGGGGAGCACCACAAGGGGUGAAGCCUGCGGUUCAAUUGGAUUCAACGCCGGG